GAGUUUGAUCCUGGCUCAGGACGAACGCUGGCGGCGUGCUUAACACAUGCAAGUCGAACGAGGUCCAAGCAGUCGCAAGACUGCGGAAGACCUAGUGGCGAACGGGUGCGUAACACGUGAGGAACUUGUCCCGGUCUCUGGAAUAACAGGUGGAAACACCUGCUAAUACCGGAUGCCGUCGGAUCAUCGCAUGGUGGUCUGACGAAAGGGUUACCGGAUCGGGAGAGCCUCGGGGCCUAUCAUCUUGAUGGUGAGGUAACGGCUCACCAAGGCAUCGACGGGUAGCUGGCCUGAGAGGAUGAUCAGCCACACUGGGACUGAUACACGGCCCAGACUCCUACGGGAGGCAGCAGUGGGGAAUCUUGCACAAUGGGCGAAAGCCUGAUGCAGCAACGCCGCGUGCGGGAAGAAGGCCCUAGGGUUGGAAACCGCUUUCAGCAGGGAAGAAGAUGACGGUACCUGUAGAAAAAGGUGCGGCCAACUACGUGCCAGCAGCCGCGAUGACCCGGAGGCACCAGGCGUUGUCCGGAUUUAUUGGCCGGAAAGAGCUCGUAUGCGGUUCGUGAAGUCGGGUGUGAAAGCUCUGGGCUCAACCCAGAGCCGCCACCCGAUACUGCUGGGACGUGAGUUCGGUAGGGGAGCGGGGAAUUCCUGGUGUAGCGGUGAAAUGCGCAGAUAUCAGGAGGAACACCAGUGGCGAAGGCGCCGCUCUGGGCCGAGACUGACGCUGAGGAGCGAAAGCGUGGGUAGCAAACAGGAUUAGAUACCCUGGUAGUCCACGCCGUAAACGUUGGGCACUAGGUGUGGGUCUCAACCAACGAGAUCCGCGCCGUCGCUAACGCAUUAAGUGCCCCGCCUGGGGAGUACGGUCGCAAGACUAAAACUCAAAGGAAUUGACGGGGGCCCGCACAAGCAGCGGAGCGUGUUGCUUAAUUCGAUGUUACGCGAAGAACCUUACCUGGGUUUGACAUGUAGGGAAAAGCUCUGGAGACAGGGUGUCCUAACGGGCCCUACACAGGUGGUGCAUGGCUGUCGUCAGCUCGUGUCGUGAGAUGUUGGGUUAAGUCCCGCAACGAGCGCAACCCUUAUCCUGUGUUGCCAGCAAGUCAUGUUGGGGACUCGCAGGAGACUGCCGGGGUCAACUCGGAGGAAGGUGGGGACGACGUCAAGUCAUCAUGCUCCUUAUGCCCAGGGCUGCAAACACGCUACAAUGGCCGGUACAGAGGGCUGCGAUCCCGUGAGGGUGAGCGAAUCCCACAAAGCCGGUCUCAGUUCGGAUUGGAGUCUGCAACUCGACUCCAUGAAGCCGGAGUUGCUAGUAAUCCCGGAUCAGCACGCCGGGGUGAAUACGUUCCCGGGCCUUGUACACACCGCCCGUCACACCACGAAAGUCGGCAACACCCGAAGCCGGUGGCCCAACUCGCAAGAGAGGGAGCCGUCGAAGGUGGGGUCGGUGAUUGGGGUGAAGUCGUAACAAGGUAGCCGUACCGGAAGGUGCGGCUGGAUCACCUCCUUUCU
rnacentral:rRNA from 1 species